UACGUAGGGGGGCAAGCGUUGUCCGGAUUUAUUGGGCGUAAAGAGCGUGUAGGCGGUUAGGUAGGUCCGUUGUGAAAACUCGAGGCUCAACCUCGAGACGCCGAUGGAAACCAUCUGACUAGAGUCCGGAAGAGGAGAGUGGAAUUCCGUGGUGUAGCGGUGAAAUGCGCAGAUAUCAGGAGGAACACCGGUGGGCGAAGGCGGGUCUCUGGGCCGAUACUGACGCUGAGGAGCGAAAGCGUGGGGAGCGAACAGG
rnacentral:rRNA from 1 species